AGCGAACGCUGGCGGCAGGCCUAACACAUGCAAGUCGAACGAACCUUUCGGGGUUAGUGGCGGACGGGUGAGUAACACGUGGGAACGUGCCUUUAGGUUCGGAAUAACUCAGGGAAACUUGUGCUAAUACCGAAUGUGCCCUUCGGGGGAAAGAUUUAUCGCCUUUAGAGCGGCCCGCGUCUGAUUAGCUAGUUGGUUGAGGUAAUGGCUCCCCAAGGCGACGAUCAGUAGCUGGUCUGAGAGGAUGAUCAGCCACAUUGGGACUGAGACACAGCCCAAACUCCUACGGGAGGCAGCAGUGGGGAAUCUUGCGAAAUGGGCGAAAGCCUGACGCAGCCAUGCCGCGUGAAUGAUGAAGGUCUUAGGAUUGUAAAAUUCUUUCACCGGGGACGAUAAUGACGGUACCCGGAGAAGAAGCCCCGGCUAACUUCGUG
rnacentral:rRNA from 1 species